CCUACGGGAGGCAGCAGUGGGGGAUAUUGCACAAUGGGGGGAACCCUGAUGCAGCGACGCCGCGUGGAUGAAGGAGUGCUUCUGAAUUUAAAGCCCUAUCGGCAGGGAAGAAGCAAGACGGUACCUGACUAAGCAGCCCCGGCUAACUACGUGACAGCAGCCGCGGUAAUACGGAGGGGGCGAGCGUUAUCCGGAUUCACUGGGUGUAAAGGGAGCGUAGACGGCCCAGCAAGCCAGGGGUGAAAGCCCGGGGCCCAACCCCGGGACUGCCCAUGGAACUGCAGGGCUGGAGUGCGGGAGGGGCAGGCGGAAUGCCUGGUGUAGCGGUGAAAUGCGUAGAGAUCAGGAGGAACACCGACGGCGAAGGCGGCCUGCUGGACCGCGACUGACGUUGAGGCGCGAAAGCGUGGGGAGCGAACAGGAUUAGAUACCCGGGUAGUC
rnacentral:rRNA from 1 species